ACAUCUGCAGCGACCCAAUCUUAAGACGCUUGGAUGAAUAUUCACAGCCUUCUACAUAAUUGAAACCGGUAUGGAGACACUUGACCAUAAUUGUGGGAGGAACUCCAGCAAAACCCUUCUCAUCGCUACAAGUUGAGCGAGGUCCCGACUUGGGAUGCCUUCUACAUAAUUGAAACUGGUAUGGAGACACUUAACCAUAAUUGUGGGAGGAACUCCAGCAAAACCCUUCUCAUCGCUACAAGUUGAGCGAGGUCCCGACUUGGGAUGAUCCAAAAUGUAUGCUGCAACCUCCCUUAAUGCCCCUUCUCCUACUCGAGUGCCCUUCUUCAAUCCCUCACCAUCUACGGACAAUGGCAGCCCCCGGGGAUUAUUCACAGCCAUAGGCUCCUCAUCUAU
rnacentral:lncRNA from 1 species